AAAUCAACACACAGCUACUGGAAAGCAUUAGUGCUGAGAAAAAAGAUGAAAGGUGAUGAGAUUGUUUGUCAAAACUCUUCCUUAUGUGAGAGUCCAUUCAAAUGCAGUGAUGCAGAGGCCAGUACUGUAGUUGAAGCUGCUGCAGAAUAUGGGGAACCCCUCCCAGUACCAUCUGAAGUGGACAAAUGGGUCUUCUUCACAAAGUAAAAGAUCAUUAACUCUUUGCAGUGUGAUCUCAGAAGAAGGUAGAAAAGGCCAGAAGAAUGCCAGAAGUCAGUAAUGUCCCUGGUGCAAAGAUUUUUGUUUUAUUAAUGUUUUAUUUUUUAAAACAUUGCUUUAUUUAUUAGAACAAGACACACACACACACACACCCCUCUCAUUCAUUUGGUGAAAUUACCAAGUUAUUUUUGCAGUAACAUUGGUGAACGUGUUUCUGAACUUCAAAUGCACGUGUUUCAGUGCCAAAGAUCAUGUUCAUACUUUAAAGGUUGAAUAGUUAAUCUCUAAAACCUGAGUUUUUUUUUUCUUCUUCAGACUUUUACAGUGCCUUUUCGUGUGUGUGUGUUUGUUUUGUUUAUUUCUAUUUAUACACCUAUUCUGACAAGUCCUUUAGGAACAAGUGAGCAAGUUUAAGCUUAGGUACAAGGUUAAGAAAACUUUGCUUUGUAAUUACUGCCAUUAGGAACCAAUAUACAUUGGGUAUUAGGACAAGAAGAGUUCGUCUUCGCAAGAUGACCAAGAAAUCAAACUCUGUAGCAAGAAUGUGAAGUUCCAUGCCUGAUGUAAAAAAGAAAUAAUACUCUACUU